CCCCGAGCCACACGCACACCCAAUCCCCUCCCCUCCAACCCUAGCCACCCUGCUCCCCUCCCUCUCCACGGCGCCGCCGCCGCCGCCUCCUCCCCUUCUGCCCUGCUCUCCACCGUGCCACCUCUUCCUCCUCUUCACUGCCCUCUCCAGCGGCGGCAAAGAACGGCGGCGCUCGAUCCAAUCUGCUGAAGAGAAAAGAUGAGAGAGGGAGAGAGGCAAGGAAGGAGAGGAGGGAGAAAGAUAGAGGAAAUAGGAGAGCGAGGUGUGACGGCGGAUGAGAGAGGGUGACCGGAAGGAGCAUGAUGACCUGCAGACAAAGGGCGGUGGCGGCGCCGCUCAAUUUGAUCUGCGGGAUAGAGAAGAUGAGAGGGAGAGAGAGAAGGAAGAACAUGAGAGGAGGGAGAAAGGGAGAGGAAAGAGGAGAGGGGGUCGACGGCCGACAGGAGAGGACCACCGGAAGGAGUGCCAUCGGCUCGUCGUCUUCCACCACCGGCGUCGGCCUGCACCGGCGAGGUCGGGCGGGACCUUGCUUCUAGGGCGGCUUGACCACAGUCUACAGAACAGUAAAAAUGGAGGAUUUGGGGCUGCUUAGUUUUGGAGUAGUAAACCAUGGAGGAUAUGGGGCUGCACGUGCUUGGAGCAGCAAGCCAUGGCAAAGAAGUACUACCAGGGGUGGCUGUUUGUUUACUGAAGGGGGUGUUGAUCUGCUGCCCCUUGUUCUACACUCUGUCCAAGUAUGAAUUUGGAUGCAUGCUUACAAAGAAUUAUCUGAUUACAUGUUUGAUGCUCUCUAAAAAAUUGCUACAAAGAUUCAUAAGAAACUUCUCG